AUGACUAGGGAUAACCUUAGGAAGAGACACAUCAUCAAACCCCUUGAUUGUGUUUACUGCUUGGAACAAGAGUCUUGUUCUCACCUAUUUUUUGAAUGUAUAGUUGCUAAACAUAUCUGGGCCCACAUUGAGGAAUAUUUCCCUAGUCAGAUUGGCUCAUCCUUCGAAUAUGUCGCCAGAUUCUGGAUUGCUACCAAAGAGUGCUGAGUUUUAAACACUGUUAGCUCAGCUGUCCUUUGGUGCCUAUGGAAAUAUAGAAAUGCUAUGAUUUUCAGUAACACCUCCUGGAUUUCCAUUCCGCAGGUCUUGAGGUUGAUCAGGAACAUGGUGAGGAACUGGGCGAUUCUCUCCUCCGGAUCGGACAAGGACAAGUUGACGAGCUUUGUGGAAACCCUAACAAGAUCCCACCAGAAACUGUUGGCGAUCACUUGUGGCUGA
rnacentral:rRNA from 1 species